UGUUGAUCCAUCUUUGGUGCAAGAAUCCAGGAGUCUCAUUUCCCCUUCCUGUUAUGGAUACAUUGAGCUUAAGCCCAUCAAGGUUGAUACUCUCAAUGAAAGCACCUGCAUGGUUUGACCGUGAUUAGAACCUGUAUUGACUUGUAAAGAGAUCUCUGGAUAGUCGGCCAUCAGCCCGCAUGCAGCGUCUGGAACGGUGUCAUCUAAAACAAGGAGGAACAAACGCUUGCAUUGGUGCGCAGGGGAGCAACGUUCGUCACAAUUGUAGCAAAGGCCACGUGAACGCUGGUGGUUAGACUCCGCGUGUGAGAGGCAUCUUUCCGGCAGAGAUGUCGCGCCGGUCGGCCGGUUUGAUACAGAAUGCGCGCUGGCAGAGGAAUACGCCGGCAACUUCCCAACCAGCUGCCAGGAAACGACGCCACAGCUUGAGUUCGCACGGCAGAGACUGACGCGGACUUCCCCUUGGCCUUGACGAUACACGUGCCAAAUUCAUGGCAAUAUCUAGAUUCGUGAACGCCGGUGGUUAGACUCCGCGUGUGAGAGGCAUCUUUCCGGCGGAGGUGUCGCGCCGGUCGGCCGGUUUGAUACAGAAUGCGCGCUGGCAGAGGAAGACGUCGACAACUUCCCAACCAGCUGCCAGGAAACGACGCCACAGCUUGCGUUCGCACGGCAGAGACUGACGCGGACUUCCCCUUGGCCUUGACGAUACACGUGCCAAAUUCAUGGCAAUAUCUAGAUUCAUCGGGCUAUGUUCUUGCCAAUGGGAUCGUCUUUGCCCUCGUAGCGAGGAAAUUCCAGUCGCGUGAACCUAGGAGCAAGGGCGACAGGAAAUGGACCGGGUGUCGCCGGCGCUGGAGCUGUCUCGGAGUUCGUCGGUGGUGUUGCGUCUGCUGCGGCGACAACUGGUUCCUUUCCGGCCAGAAAUUGUCGAAACAUCGCACGUAAUUCAUCCUGGUCAGCCUUCAUGGUUGCAGCGCUGCGUGAAGUGAUUGGACCUCCCUACGAAUCGCAGUAAUAGAGUUGGCCAACGUUGGGUCGCCCAUGACGACUGGCUCUAAUACUAAAUUUGUUACGGGACGGGAUAUUUGGGAUCGCGUCACAGGCAGGGAACAAUAGCCAAGAAACUUAGAAAUAAAAUUGGAAAAGCUUUUCUGGAGUGCUUCUUCUCCCAAUCUUUCAUUUAAUAGAAACCCAAAGUACUAAUUUUCAAGAUGUUCCCUCUUCAAAAUACAUAGGCAUCUAUUU